CCCUUAGAGUUUGAUCCUGGCUCAGGACGAACGCUGGCGGCGCGCCUAACACAUGCAAGUCGAACGAGCGAGAGAGAGCUUGCUUUCUCGAGCGAGUGGCGAACGGGUGAGUAACGCGUGAGGAACCUGCCUCAAAGAGGGGGACAACAGUUGGAAACGACUGCUAAUACCGCAUAAGCCUACAGCUCGGCAUCGAGCAGAGGGAAAAGGAGCAAUCCGCUUUGAGAUGGCCUCGCGUCCGAUUAGCUAGUUGGUGAGGUAACGGCCCACCAAGGCAACGAUCGGUAGCCGGACUGAGAGGUUGAACGGCCACAUUGGGACUGAGACACGGCCCAGACUCCUACGGGAGGCAGCAGUGGGGAAUAUUGCACAAUGGGGGAAACCCUGAUGCAGCGACGCCGCGUGGAGGAAGAAGGUCUUCGGAUUGUAAACUCCUGUUGUUGAGGAAGAUAAUGACGGUACUCAACAAGGAAGUGACGGCUAACUACGUGCCAGCAGCCGCGGUAAAACGUAGGUCACAAGCGUUGUCCGGAAUUACUGGGUGUAAAGGGAGCGCAGGCGGGAAGACAAGUUGGAAGUGAAAUCUAUGGGCUCAACCCAUAAACUGCUUUCAAAACUGUUUUUCUUGAGUAGUGCAGAGGUAGGCGGAAUUCCCGGUGUAGCGGUGGAAUGCGUAGAUAUCGGGAGGAACACCAGUGGCGAAGGCGGCCUACUGGGCACCAACUGACGCUGAGGCUCGAAAGUGUGGGUAGCAAACAGGAUUAGAUACCCUGGUAGUCCACACUGUAAACGAUGAUUACUAGGUGUUGGAGGAUUGACCCCUUCAGUGCCGCAGUUAACACAAUAAGUAAUCCACCUGGGGAGUACGACCGCAAGGUUGAAA
rnacentral:rRNA from 1 species